GUGGGGAAUAUUGGACAAUGGGCGAAAGCCUGAUCCAGCUAUGCCGCGUGUGUGAAGAAGGUCUUCGGAUUGUAAAGCACUUUAAGUUGGGAGGAAGGGCAGUAAGUUAAUACCUUGCUGUUUUGACGUUACCGACAGAAUAAGCACCGGCUAACUUCGUGCCAGCAGCCGCGGUAAUACGAAGGGUGCAAGCGUUAAUCGGAAUUACUGGGCGUAAAGCGUGCGCAGGCGGUUAUAUAAGACAGAUGUGAAAUCCCCGGGCUCAACCUGGGAACUGCCUCCAAAACUGCAUGACUAGAGUACGGUAGAGGGUAGUGGAAUUUCCUGUGUAGCGGUGAAAUGCGUAGAUAUAGGAAGGAACACCAGUGGCGAAGGCGACUACCUGGACUGAUACUGACACUGAGGUGCGAAAGCGUGGGGAGCAAACAGGAUUAGAUACCCCGGUAGUCC
rnacentral:rRNA from 1 species